rnacentral:rRNA from 1 species
UACGUAGGGUGCGAGCGUUGUCCGGAAUUAUUGGGCGUAAAGGGCUCGUAGGCGGUUUGGCAAGUCGGGUGUGAAAACUUCAGGCUCAACCUGGAGAUGCCACCCGAGACUGCUAUGACUUGAGUCUGGUAGGGGAGCACGGAAUUCCUGGUGUAGCGGUGAAAUGCGCAGAUAUCAGGAGGAACACCGGUGGCGAAGGCGGUGCUCUGGGCCAGUACUGACGCUGAGGAGCGAAAGCGUGGGGAGCGAACAGG